UACGUAGGGUGCAAGCGUUAAUCGGAAUUACUGGGCGUAAAGGGUUCGUAGGUGGCCAACUAAGUCAUACGUGAAAUCCCUCAGCUUAACUGGGGAACUGCGUCUGAUACUGGUUGGCUUGAGUGCAGGAGAGGAACGCGGAAUUCCAGGUGUAGCGGUGAAAUGCGUAGAUAUCUGGAGGAACACCGGUGGCGAAGGCGGCGUUCUGGACUGCAACUGACACUGAGGAACGAAAGCCAGGGGAGCAAACGGG
rnacentral:rRNA from 1 species